AGUCGUAACAAGGUUUCCGUAGGUGAACCUGCGGAAGGAUCAUUAAUUAUGUUAAAGCGCCUUACCUCUUAGGGUUUCCUCUGGGGUAAGUGAUUGCUUCUACACUGUGAAAAUUUGGCUGAGAGACUCAGACUGGUCAUGGGUAGACCUAUCUGGGGUUUGAUCGAUGCCACUCCUGGUUUCAGGAGCACCCUUCAUAAUAAACCUAGAAAUUCAGUAUUAUAAAGUUUAAUAAAAAACAACUUUUAACAAUGGAUCUCUUGGUUCUCGCAUCGAUGAAGAACGUAGCAAAGUGCGAUAACUAGUGUGAAUUGCAUAUUCAGUGAAUCAUCGAGUCUUUGAACGCAGCUUGCACUCUAUGGUUUUUCUAUAGAGUACGCCUGCUUCAGUAUCAUCACAAACCCACACAUAACAUUUGUUUAUGUGGUAAUGGGUCGCAUCGCUGUUUUAUUACAGUGAGCACCUAAAAUGUGUGUGAUUUUCUGUCUGGCUUGCUAGGCAGGAAUAUUACGCUGGUCUCAGGAUCUUUUUCUUUGGUUCGCCCAGGAAGUAAAGUACAAGAGUAUAAUCCAGCAACUUCAAACUAUGAUCUGAAGUCAGGUGGGAUUACCCGCUGAACCUAAGCAUAUCAAU
rnacentral:misc_RNA from 1 species